rnacentral:snRNA from 1 species
AUCGCUUCUCGGCCUUUUGGCUAAGAUCAAGCGUAGUAUCAAACAUUUCCCCACACUGUGACUCCUGUAGUAGAGUCCUCUCUUCUCUACAGUCUUCUAAUACUCUGUACUUUGCUUCUAGAGAAACUGUUCUAGUUUUAAAAUCAAUUUUUGCACUAAUUAUU